CCUACGGGUGGCAGCAGUCGAGAAUCAUUCACAAUGGGGGAAACCCUGAUGGUGCGACGCCGCGUGGGGGAAUGAAGGUCUUCGGAUUGUAAACUCCUGUCAUAUGGGAGCAAAAUAAAAAGAUAGUACCAUUAGAGGAAGAGACGGUUAACUCUGUGCGAGUAGCCGCGGUAAUACAGAGGUCUCAAGCGUGGUUCGGAUUCACUGGGGGGAAAGGGUGCGUAGGCUGUUACGUAAGUCGUGUGUGAAAGGCGGGGGCUUAACCGGUGAAAUGCAGAUUAAACUGGGAGCCUAGAGUACUGGAGAGGGGAGUGGAAUUCGCGGUGUAGCAGUGAAAUGCGUAGAUAUCAGGAGGAACACUGGUGGCGAAGGCGGGUUACUGGACAGUAACUGACGCUGAGGCACGAAAGUGUGGGGAGCAAACAGGAUUAGAUACCCUUGUAGUC
rnacentral:rRNA from 1 species